CCGAAAGUACCUUAACGUCAUCUGUGUGCGACACAAACACAACAUAACAGAGGCGAUGGUACACCUGCUGCUCGGUCUGUGGCUUUCUGUCAGAUUCAAAGUAAUAGAAGAGUCAGAGAAAGCUGAGAGUGGCGAGUCGAAACACUGAGGAGACACACAGGAGAGUUUGGGAGGCGAUACAGCAGUAUCAAGCCGAAGAGGAUACAAACUAGACGACAUAUGAGGGUGGCUCUCUCAUGAGGCUUCAUGGGAUUUACCUGAAGCAGCAGCACAUGAGCCUGCAGUGGCACAAGGUGUAGAGGAGGAGGACAGAGAUGUACAGGAUGCACUGAUGCAGUACGUGUCAUGCAAAAGUUAAAAGUUAUUCUUCUCGUUAUACUUCUGUUUUUCGGUCCCCGGACCACUAUUGUUUUCUUUAAUGCAAUUCUGACAAUAAACUUUUGUACCUUUUGCA